rnacentral:rRNA from 1 species
AGAGUUUGAUCCUGGCUCAGGAUGAACGCUAGCGGCAGGCCUAAUACAUGCAAGUCGAACGGUAAGUCGGGUAGCAAUACCUGACCUAGAGUGACGUACGGGUGCGUAACACGUAUGCAACCUACCCAUAACAGGAGGAUAGCUCGGGGAAACCCGGAUUAACCCUCCAUAAUAUCAAUGACCGGCAUCGGUUGCUGAUUAAAACUCCGGUGGUUAUGGAUGGGCAUGCGUCUGAUUAGCUAGUUGGCGGUGUAACGGACCACCAAGGCGAUGAUCAGUAGGGGAACUGAGAGGUUGAUCCCCCACACUGGCACUGAGAUACGGGCCAGACUCCUACGGGAGGCAGCAGUAGGGAAUAUUGGUCAAUGGAUGCAAGUCUGAACCAGCCAUGCCGCGUGCAGGAAGACGGCCCUAUGGGUUGUAAACUGCUUUUGCCAGGGGGUAAAACAGCUCUGCGGAGCAAAUUGAAGGUACCUGGUGAAUAAGCCACGGCUAACUACGUGCCAGCAGCCGCGGUAAUAC